GUGUGACAUGAUGAUACUACUGUCCUCCUCACUAUUGCUGGCAUGCUUCAGUUCAAGCCUAUUUUUCUUGGAAAGGUGGCUAGGCAAUAAGGUGGGAAUUUUUUUGAGAUGCUCGGGAAUUUUAGUUUCGGUGAUUACUUCAAGAAGGAAGCAAUAAAGUGGGCUUGGGAACUCUCAACCGUAGAAUAUGGAUUGCCUGCAGACAACUUAUUGAUUACGGUUCAUUUUCGAUGCUCUUGUUUGACUGGGCAUUAAGAAGAAGAAGAGUGAAUAUGAAUCUGGGUUGAUGUUGUUAAUCGGCUUAUUGUUGUCAAUCGGUUUAA